rnacentral:tRNA from 1 species
GUUUUUGUAGUUGAAAAAACAACGAUGGUUUUUCAUAGCCAUAAGUCCUGGUUAAAACCCAGGCAAAAACU